rnacentral:rRNA from 1 species
GUGGGGAAUAUGUGGACAAUGGGCGAAAGCCUGAUCCAGCAAUGCCGCGUGAGUGAUGAAGGCCUUAGGGUUGUAAAGCUCUUUUACCAGGGAUGAUAAUGACAGUACCUGGAGAAUAAGCUCCGGCUAACUCCGUGCCAGCAGCCGCGGUAAUACGGAGGGAGCUAGCGUUGUUCGGAAUUACUGGGCGUAAAGAGUACGUAGGCGGUGAUUCAAGUCAGAGGUGAAAGCCUGGAGCUCAACUCCAGAACUGCCUUUGAAACUAGAUCGCUAGAAUUGUGGAGAGGUUAGUGGAAUUCCGAGUGUAGAGGUGAAAUUCGUAGAUAUUCGGAAGAACACCAGUGGCGAAGGCGACUAACUGGACACAUAUUGACGCUGAGGUACGAAAGCGUGGGGAGCAAACAGGAUUAGAUACCC